UGGGGUGUAUCUCAGUGGUAGAGCAUUGCCUAGCAUGUCAGAGGCCCUGGGUUCCACCCCCAGCACCACAA
rnacentral:tRNA from 1 species